CCCCUCUCAGGAUUGCACCUGGAGAGUUCCCAGUAUUCUACCAGGCUUGGCUAUGGAAUGGAGAGUCAAGCAGACGCCUACCCAUUCCAUUCCUAGCUUGAGCAGUGUUUAGCAAGUGGAAGGCAAUCUGCUACAAGU